rnacentral:lncRNA from 1 species
AGUUCUUGAAACCAGAACUUUCUCUUCUCUAUCUUCUUGCAUGUUCUCCCUUUGAUUCUUUAUUGUGUCAAUUCCUUUGUCUAUCUCCUUUUACUUUUUUAUGGUGUGGAAUUUCUCUCUAUGAUCUUACAUUAUAUGUAUUGGAACCCCUUCAUUCGACCAAAAAUAGAUCUUUAUAUAAAGCCCAAAUCGACUUGAAAAUCGUGUGCUCAAAAGAACCAAAAUACCACCAAAAAUAAAAUAAAAACCACUCAAAAAAUAUACAUACAGGUUUGCCACGAUCGGAUAAGGAUUUGCAUACUACGGUCGGACCUCAAAAGCUAGCCUUUGAAUGUGACUGUCGG